GACGAACGCUAGCGGCGUGCUUAACACAUGCCAGUCGAACGGAAAGGCCCUGCUUUUGUUGGGUGCUCGAGUGGCGAACGGGUGAGUAACACGUGAGUAACCUGCCCUUGACUUUGGGAUAACUUCAGGAAACUGGGGCUAAUACCGGAUAGGAGCUCCUGCUGCAUGGUGGGGGUUGGAAAGUUUCGGCGGUUGGGGAUGGACUCGCGGCUUAUCAGCUUGUUGGUGGGGUAGUGGCUUACCAAGGCUUUGACGGGUAGCCGGCAUGAGAGGGUGACCGGCCACAUUGGGACUGAGAUACGGCCCAGACUCCUACGGGAGGCAGCAGUGGGGAAUAUUGCACAAUGGGCGGAAGCCUGAUGCAGCAACGCCGCGUGCGGGAUGACGGCCUUCGGGUUGUAAACCGCUUUCGCCUGUGACGAAGCGUGAGUGACGGUAAUGGGUAAAGAAGCACCGGCUAACUACGUG
rnacentral:rRNA from 1 species